UGAUACCCGGAUUGGGUGGACGGCUUAGGCGAUUCCUGUCUCAAACUAUCAAGCUCCUCAAAACAAUAGCUUUCAGUUUCCUAGGUUCUACAUGCCACUCAAAGAACAUG